rnacentral:rRNA from 1 species
UACGUAGGGGGCUAGCGUUGUCCGGAUUUAUUGGGCGUAAAGAGCGUGUAGGCGGCCAGGUAGGUCUGCUGUGAAAACUCGAGGCUCAACCUCGAGACGUCGGCGGAAACCAUCUGGCUAGAGUCCGGAAGAGGAGAGUGGAAUUCCUGGUGUAGCGGUGAAAUGCGCAGAUAUCAGGAAGAACACACGUGGCGAAGGCGGCUCUCUGGGACGGUACUGACGCUGAGACGCGAAAGCGUGGGGAGCGAACAGG